rnacentral:ncRNA from 1 species
UUAAAGUUUGAUUCUUUCUUUUAAGUUUGAAAUUUGAAUUAUUUUAUAUGUAAGUUUUUACUUUUUCAUCUAAAUGGUUUUUUUUCAGUAUAUAGUUUUGGUUUUUAUAACGAUAUAAAACCAGGAUUUUAAUUUAUAACUGACAAAAUCUGUGCCAGCCGUCGCGGUUACACAUUUAGUUAAAUUAAACUUUUUCGUUUAAGUAUUAAUUUUUUUAUUAUUUAAUUUUAAUUUUAAUUUUUAGGUGAAAUUUUAAUUAAUUAUUUGUUUAUGGGUUAAUGAUUAUACGAAAAUUAUUAAUAAACUAGGAUUAGAUACCCUAUUAUAAUAAUUGUAAAUUUUUCUUAAUAUUAAUAGUUGUGUUCUUUAAAUUAAAAGAAUUUGGCGGUUAUUUAAUCUUUCUAGAGGAACCUGUCCUGUAAUUGAUAAUCCACGAUUGGUUUUACUUUAAUUUUGCUUAUAUAUCGCUGUCAUUGAAUGUUUUAUAAGAUUAUUUUCUUUUAUUUUUAUGAAUAAAAUGUUAGGUCAAGAUGUAGCUGUAUUAAAGAAGAGAUGGGUUACAUUUAAUUUAUUAAUGAAUAAGGAUUUUUAAAUUUUCUUUGAAAUUGGAUUUAGGUGUAAUUUUUAUUAAAUAUUAAUUUUGAUUUUAGUUCUAAAUAAUGUACACAUCGCCCGUCACUCUCAUUUUAAGUUGGGAUAAGUCGUAACAAAGUAGGCCUACCGGAAGGUGGGCCUGGUCAGUU